UACGUAGGGUGCAAGCGUUGUCCGGAAUCAUUGGGCGUAAAGAGCGUGUAGGCGGUCCGGUAAGUCGGCUGUGAAAGUCCAGGGCUCAACCCUGGGAUGCCGGUCGAUACUGCCGGACUAGAGUUCGGAAGAGGCGAGUGGAAUUCCCGGUGUAGCGGUGAAAUGCGCAGAUAUCGGGAGGAACACCUAUGGCGAAGGCAGCUCGCUGGGACGUUACUGACGCUGAGACGCGAAAGCGUGGGGAGCAAACAGG
rnacentral:rRNA from 1 species